UGGUGACGGUGUGUUUCAAUGCUCGGAAUCACGAAACGGCCUUAGUGGCUGUACAAAUUCUGAGGAAAGUCCCUGGACCUGCGGCUGAAAGAGUCCACGCCUGGCGGCGUGCAGUCGAAUGCGCAAGUCUCUUAACGAGUCCCUGGGUGGCUGUAAGAGUCAUGACCCCGCAAGGGUGAGCUCGGCCAUCUUUUCGGAAGGGAGCAUUCGAUUUUCGUCUACGUCAGAGUAACGUUGAAAGAUCAAACAGAAUAGGGCUUACCACACUGUCUCC
rnacentral:RNase_MRP_RNA from 1 species